rnacentral:rRNA from 1 species
GAUGAACGCUAGCGGCAGGCUUAACACAUGCAAGUCGAGGGGUAGAGGUUGCUUACAACCUUGAGACCGGCGCACGGGUGCGUAACGCGUAUGCAACUUACCUUUUACAGAGGGAUAGCCCAGAGAGAUUUGGAUUAAUACCUCAUAGUAUAUAACCUUCGCAUGUUGGUUAUAUUAAAGUUCCAACGGUAAAAGAUGGGCAUGCGUCCUAUUAGCUAGAUGGUAAGGUAACGGCUUACCAUGGCAACGAUAGGUAGGGGUCCUGAGAGGGAGAUCCCCCACACUGGUACUGAGACACGGACCAGACUCCUACGGGAGGCAGCAGUGAGGAAUAUUGGACAAUGGGCGCAAGCCUGAUCCAGCCAUGCCGCGUGCAGGAAGAAGCAUCUAUGGUGUGUAAACUGCUUUUGUACAGGAAGAAACACCCGACGUGUCGGGGCUUGACGGUACUGUAAGAAUAAGGAUCGGCUAACUCCGUGCCAGCCGCCGCCGUAA